rnacentral:rRNA from 1 species
UACGGAGGGGGCUAGCGUUGUUCGGAAUUACCGGGCGUAAAGCGCACGUAGGCGGCUUUGUAAGUCAGAGGUGAAAUCCCGGGGGCUCAACUCCGGAACUGCCUUUGAGACUGCAUCGCUUGAAUCCAGGAGAGGUGAGUGGAAUUCCGAGUGUAGAGGUGAAAUUCGUAGAUAUUCGGAAGAACACCAGUGGCGAAGGCGGCUCACUGGACUGGUAUUGACGCUGAGGUGCGAAAAGCGUGGGGAGCAAACAGGG